AGUAUUAUGAAGUUUCACAAAAUUAAUUGAUAAAAAAUUAUAAUGAUUCUCAUAUAUCAUGAAAGAGAGUUUAACAUACAUUAAUACAAGUGUAGAAUAUGGUUAGAUUUUUUUAAACAAUGCUAAAAAGUUUAGGCUUCAGUAUAUAGAGCGUUUAACGUAAAAAUCAAUAUUUUCGUAAGGUGUUAACACAUAGAUUUUGAGAAAAUUCAAAAAUAUUACAAUAUUGAUUUAAUGAAUAGUUGCCUCCAGUACUAAUAUAAGGUGAUGGUAAAAGAGGUUUGGAACAUUUGUUGUCUUCAUUUUUCUGGAGAAUAACGAUUUUAUAAGAGUUAGUCUACUAAUUUAGGAACUAUAUGAAAUUUUACUAAAUUAAUUUAUAAAAAAAAUUGAACGAUGGUCAUGUUCCACGAAAGAGAGUUAACAUACAUUAAUACUAAUGUAGAAUGUGGUUAAACAUUAAAAUAAUACUAAAGACUAUAGGCUUCAGUAUAUAAAGCAUUUACAAAAAUUCAAUAUUUUUGUAUGGGUUAACACAUAGAUUUUGCGAAAAUAUGACAAUAUUUUUUUAAUGCAUAGUUUCAUCAUACACUAAUAUAUGAUGAUUUUAAAAGAGGUUUAGAGUCUUUGUUGUCUCCGUUUUUCAAGAAACUAGCGAUUUAAUAGUGGUUAUUCCACCAAUUUAUGGAAUAUUAUGAAGUUUUACUAUAUUAAUUGAUAAAAAAAAUUAUAACGAUUCUCAUAUACCAUGAAAGAAAGUUUAACAUACAUUUAUAAAAAUAUAGAAUGUUGUUAGAAAUUUUAAAACAACGCAAAAAUGUUUAGGCUUCAGUAUAUAGAGCGAUUAAUGUAAAACUCAAUAUUUUCAUAGGGGUGUUAACACAUACCUUUUGAGAGAAAUUCAAAAAAUUCAAAAAAUAUAACAAUAUUGCUUUAAUGCAUAGUUGCCUCCGAUACUAAUAUAUGGUGAUGGUAAAAGAGGUUUGGAACUUUUGUUGUCUUCAUUUCUCUAGAGAAUAGCGAUUUUAUAAUGGUUAGUCCACUAAUUUAGGGAUUAUAUUAAAUUUUACUAAAUUAAUUUAUAAAAAAAUUGAACGAUGCUCAUGUACCAUGAAUUAGAAUUUAGAAUACAUUAAUACAAAUGUAGAAUGUGGUUUGAAAUUUUAAAACAAUCCUAAAAAUUAUAUGGUUCAGUAAAUAAAACAUUUAACAAAAUUCAAUAUUUUUGUAGGGGUUAACACACAGAUUUUGGGAAAAUUUCAAAAAAUAUGACAAUAUUGUUUUAAUGCAUAUUUCCUCCAGUACUAAUAUAUGGUGAUGGUAAAAGAGGUUUGGAACCUUCGUUGUCUUCAUAUCUCUAGAGAAUAGCGAUUUUAUAAGGGUUAGUCCACUAAUUUAAAGAAUAUAUGAAAUUUUACUAACUUAAUUUAUAAAAAAUUAAACGAUGCUCAUGUACCAUGAAAGAGAGUUUAGAAUAAAUUAAUACAAAUGUAGAAUGAGUUUAGAAAUUUUAAAACAAUACUAAAUAUUAUAUGGUUCAGUAUAUAAAGCAUUUACCAAAAUUUAAUAUUUUUAUAGGGGUUAACACACAGAUUUUGAGAAAAUUUCAAAAAAUAUGAAAAUAUUGUUUAAUGCAUAGUUGCAUAAUGCACUAACUUAUGAUGAUGUUGAAAAAGGUUUGGAGCUUUUGUUGUCUCUUUUUUUAAGAAAUUAACGAUUUUAUAGUGGUUAUUGCAUCGAUUUAGGUAGUAUUAUUAAGUUUCAUUAAAUUAAUUGAUAAAAAAUUUAUAAUAAUUCUCAUUUACCAUGAAAAAGAGUUUAACAUACAUUAAUACAAAUGUAGAAUAUGGUUAGAAUUUUCAAAACAACACUAAAAAGUUUAGGCUUCAGUAUAUA